rnacentral:misc_RNA from 1 species
AGCAGCCGCGGUAAUUCCAGCUCCAAUAGCGUAUAUUAAAGUUGUUGCAGUUAAAAGCUCGUAGUUGAAUUUCGGGAUCAGUCCGCUGGUCGUGCCUCUGGUAUGUACUGGUGUUACUGGUUCCUCCCUUCCGACGAACUGUCAUGUCAUUAAUUUGGUGUGGCGGGGAAUCAGGACUGUUACUUUGAAAAAUUAGAGUGUUUAAAGCAGGCUCGCGCUUGAAUACAUUAGCAUGGAAUAAUGAAAUAGGACGUUCGAUCCUAUUUUGUUGGUUUUCUAGGAUUGACGUAAUGAUUAAUAGGGAUAGUUGGGGGGCAUUAGUAUUCAAUUGUCAGAGGUGAAAUUCUUGGAUUUAUUGAAGACUAACUACUGCGAAAGCAUUUGCCAAGGAUGUUUUCAUUAAUCAAGAACGAAAGUUAGGGGAUACGAAG